AAAACGAAGACCACCACGACAACCGCGACGCAGGCGUGCACGCCUGCGUCUUAUCUCUGAGUGACAUGGAUACAACGGAGAGGGACGGAGCGGGGCUGCGUCCCUCCAUUCGAUACGUGAUUGGCGUCGAUGAAGCAGGUCGCGGCUGCAUGGCAGGUCCGGUGGGUGUCGCUGCCACCCUCUACCGCAUUUCCGCCACGCCGGUGCGCUACGCUGUGUUGGACAGCAAGAAGAUGAAGGAGAUCGAUCGCGCCGAGACGCUCGAGGCAAUGUGCGCGGAGCUGAGCGACGCGGGCGUCGAAGGUUUCGUGGGGACCACCGUGAGGGAUGGCACGUGCUGCCUCGUGCGGUAUCAGCGGCGCAAGCCACUGCAAGCAGUGGCUGCGGCGCUCGUCGACGUUUCUGUCAUCAACGAGCGCAACAUCCUUAAUGCCACGCUCGAGGGGAUGUCUGCAGUGUGUGACGCCGUUGUGCGCUCGUACAAUGCGGUGAGUGGGCUCGACACCCUCACUCCGCUGACCUGCGCGAUUCUCAUUGACGGUAAUCGAGUUCCGUGGACGUUCCUGUCCGGCGAGGAGCGACAGCGGGUGUGCGUACAGGCGGUGCGAAAGGUUGAGGCUCGUAAGCGGAUAGGCGUCGAAUACCCUGCUUUGGAUGGUUUUGGCUGCACGACUGUGGUCAAGGGCGAUGCAACGCUUCUGUCCAUCGCGGCUGCAUCGAUUGUCGCCAAGGUUGCAAGGGACGCGUACGCGGUGUCCGUUAUGCAUCGCGCGUUCCCCCAGUACGGUUUCAACCACCACAAAGGCUACUGCACCGCGGCGCACAAGGCGGAGCUUGCGAGAUGGGGUCCAAGCCAUUUUCACCGCCUCGACUACGCGCCUGUAAAAGGCAGUCUUGGGGGCCAAAGUGGCGACGCAAAACGCACCCCUGCAUUGCUCAAGGGGACGGUAAUGUGAAGCUCAAAACGGCGCGCCCGCAAAGGCCGAGUCCACUUCCACUCUGCACGCCCUCCACAUGGGCGAAACGUGCGACUCACG
rnacentral:misc_RNA from 1 species